rnacentral:rRNA from 1 species
AGAGGGCUGCGAAGCCGCGAGGUGGAGCGAAUCCCAGAAAACCUGUCUCAGUCCGGAUUGAAGUCUGCAACUCGACUUCAUGAAGGCGGAAUCGCUAGUAACCGCGAAUCAGCAGGUCGCGGUGAAUACCGGUUCCCGGGCCUU